rnacentral:rRNA from 1 species
GAUGAACGCUAGCGGCAGGCCUAAUACAUGCAAGUCGAACGGAGCAGCAAUGCUCAGUGGCGCACGGGUGCGUAACGCGUAUGCAACCUACCUUUCAGCGGGGGAUAGCCCGGGGAAACCCGGAUUAAUACCGCAUAAGAUCAUAGAAUGGCAUCAUUUGGUGAUUAAACAUUUAUGGCUGAAAGAUGGGCAUGCGUUAG